rnacentral:rRNA from 1 species
ACGGAAGGCAGCAGUGGGGAAUAUUGGGCAAUGGGGGGAACCCUGACCCAGCGACGCCGCGUGAGGGAAGAAGGUUUUCGGAUUGUAAACCUCUGUCUUUGGUGACGAUAAUGACGGUAGCCAAAGAGGAAGCCACGGCUAACUACGUGCCAGCAGCCGCGGUAAUACGUAGGUGGCAAGCGUUGUCCGGAAUUACUGGGUGUAAAGGGAGCGUAGGCGGGAUGACAAGUUGAAUGUUUAAACGAUCGGCUUAACCGGUCGUCGCGUUCAAAACUGUGAUUCUUGAGUGAAGUAGAGGCAAGCGGAAUUCCUAGUGUAGCGGUGAAAUGCGUAGAUAUUAGGAGGAACACCAGUGGCGAAGGCGGCUUGCUGGGCUUUAACUGACGCUGAGGCUCGAAAGCGUGGGUAGCAAACAGGAUUAGAUACCCUGGUA